UGGGAUAUAGCUCAGUUGGUAGAGUGCUUGCCUCACAUGUAUCAGGUCCUGGGAUAAAUCCCCAGCAUCACAA
rnacentral:tRNA from 1 species